CAGGUUUACCUGUGUGACUGCGUACCUUUUGUAUAAUGGGUCAGCGACUUAUAUUCUGUAGCAAGGUUAACCGAAUAGGGGAGCCGGAGGGAAACCGAGUCUUAAUUGGGCGUUAAGUUGCAGGGUAUAGACCCGAAACCCGGUGAUCUAGCCAUGGGCAGGUUGAAGGUUGGGUAACACUAACUGGAGGACCGAACCGACUAAUGUUGAAAAAUUAGCGGAUGACCUGUGGCUGGGGGUGAAAGGCCAAUCAAACCGGGAGAUAGCUGGUUCUCCCCGAAAGCUAUUUAGGUAGCGCCUCGUGAAUUCAUCUCCGGGGGUAGAGCACUGUUUCGGCUAGGGGGCCAUCCCGGCUUACCAACCCGAUGCAAACUGCGAAUACCGGAGAAUGUUAUCACGGGAGACACACGGCGGGUGCUAACGUCCGUCGUGAAGAGGGAAACAACCCAGACCGCCAGCUAAGGUCCCAAAGUCAUGGUUAAGUGGGAAACGAUGUGGGAAGGCCCAGACAGCCAGGAUGUUGGCUUAGAAGCAGCCAUCAUUUAAAGAAAGCGUAAUAGCUCACUGGUCGAGUCGGCCUGCGCGGAAGAUGUAACGGGGCUAAACCAUGCACCGAAGCUGCGGCAGCGACACUGUGUGUUGUUGGGUAGGGGAGCGUUCUGUAAGCCUGUGAAGGUGUGUCGUGAGGCAUGCUGGAGGUAUCAGAAGUGCGAAUGCUGACAUAAGUAACGAUAAAGCGGGUGAAAAGCCCGCUCGCCGGAAGACCAAGGGUUCCUGUCCAACGUUAAUCGGGGCAGGGUGAGUCGACCCCUAAGGCGAGGCCGAAAGGCGUAGUCGAUGGGAAACGGGUUAAUAUUCCCGUACUUGGUGUUACUGCGAAGGGGGGACGGAGAAGGCUAUGUUGGCCGGGCGACGGUUGUCCCGGUUUAAGCGUGUAGGUGUGUGUUCCAGGUAAAUCCGGUUCACUUUAACACUGAGGCGUGACGACGAGGCACUACGGUGCUGAAGCAACAAAUGCCCUGCUUCCAGGAAAAGCCUCUAAGCAUCAGGUAACAUCAAAUCGUACCCCAAACCGACACAGGUGGUCAGGUAGAGAAUACCAAGGCGCUUGAGAGAACUCGGGUGAAGGAACUAGGCAAAAUGGUGCCGUAACUUCGGGAGAAGGCACGCUGACACGUAGGUGAAGUGAUUUACUCAUGGAGCUGAAGUCAGUCGAAGAUACCAGCUGGCUGCAACUGUUUAUUAAAAACACAGCACUGUGCAAACACGAAAGUGGACGUAUACGGUGUGACGCCUGCCCGGUGCCGGAAGGUUAAUUGAUGGGGUCAGCGCAAGCGAAGCUCCUGAUCGAAGCCCCGGUAAACGGCGGCCGUAACUAUAACGGUCCUAAGGUAGCGAAAUUCCUUGUCGGGUAAGUUCCGACCUGCACGAAUGGCGUAAUGAUGGCCAGGCUGUCUCCACCCGAGACUCAGUGAAAUUGAACUCGCUGUGAAGAUGCAGUGUACCCGCGGCAAGACGGAAAGACCCCGUGAACCUUUACUAUAGCUUGACACUGAACAUUGAGCCUUGAUGUGUAGGAUAGGUGGGAGGCUUUGAAGUGUGGACGCCAGUCUGCAUGGAGCCGACCUUGAAAUACCACCCUUUAAUGUUUGAUGUUCUAACGUGGACCCGUUACCCGGGUUGCGGACAGUGUCUGGUGGGUAGUUUGACUGGGGCGGUCUCCUCCUAAAGAGUAACGGAGGAGCACGAAGGUUGGCUAAUCCUGGUCGGACAUCAGGAGGUUAGUGCAAUGGCAUAAGCCAGCUUGACUGCGAGCGUGACGGCGCGAGCAGGUGCGAAAGCAGGUCAUAGUGAUCCGGUGGUUCUGAAUGGAAGGGCCAUCGCUCAACGGAUAAAAGGUACUCCGGGGAUAACAGGCUGAUACCGCCCAAGAGUUCAUAUCGACGGCGGUGUUUGGCACCUCGAUGUCGGCUCAUCACAUCCUGGGGCUGAAGUAGGUCCCAAGGGUAUGGCUGUUCGCCAUUUAAAGUGGUACGCGAGCUGGGUUUAGAACGUCGUGAGACAGUUCGGUCCCUAUCUGCCGUGGGCGCUGGAGAACUGAGGGGGGCUGCUCCUAGUACGAGAGGACCGGAGUGGACGCAUCACUGGUGUUCGGGUUGUCAUGCCAAUGGCACUGCCCGGUAGCUAAAUGCGGAAGAGAUAAGUGCUGAAAGCAUCUAAGCACGAAACUUGCCCCGAGAUGAGUUCUCCCUGAGAC
rnacentral:rRNA from 1 species